rnacentral:rRNA from 1 species
UCAAGUUAUUAAGGGUGCAGGGCGGAUGCCUUGGCACUAGGAGCCGAUGAAGGACGUGAUAAGCUGCGAUAAGCUUCGGGGAGUUGCACGUAAACUUUGAUCCGAAGAUUUCCGAAUGAGGAAACUCACUUAGAGUAAUGUCUAAGUAUCAUUAAGUGAAUACAUAGCUUAAUGAGGGGAACUCAGGGAACUGAAACAUCUAAGUACCUGAAGGAAGAGAAAGAAAUUCGAUUCCGUAAGUAGCGGCGAGCGAACGCGGAUUAGCCCAAACCAAUAAAGUUUUCUUUAUUGGGGUUGCGGACAUAUCAUAACGAAGAGGUAUCGUAAUUGAAGAGGUUUGGAAAGACCCACCACAGAAGGUAAUAGUCCUGUAUGUUAAACGAGAAGACUUCAGAUAUGAUCCAGAGUACCACGGGACACGUGAAACCCUGUGGGAAGCAGGAGGGACCACCCUCCAAGGCUAAAUACUACCUAGUGACCGAUAGCGUAUAGUACCGUGAGGGAAAGGUGAAAAGAACCCCGGGAGGGGAGUGAAAUAGAACCUGAAACCCUGCACUUACAAGCUGUGGAAGCACAUUUCUUGUGUGACCGCGUACUUUUUGUAGAACGGGCCAACGAGUUACGUUAAGUAGCAAGGUUAAGCACUUAAGGUGCGGAGCCGUAGCGAAAGCGAGUUUUAACUGAGCGUUCAGUUACUUGACGUAGACCCGAAACCGGGCGACCUACCCAUGAGCAGGAUGAAGCGAAAGUAAAAUUUCGUGGAGGUCCGAACCCACGAGCGUUGAAAAGCUCGGGGAUGACUUGUGGGUAGCGGUGAAAUUCCAAUCGAGCCCGGAGAUAGCUGGUUCUCCCCGAAAUAGCUUUAGGGCUAGCCUCAAGGUGAGAGAUACGGAGGUAGAGCACUGAAUGUCCUAGGGGGUAUUGCACCUACCGAAGACUAUCAAACUCCGAAUGCCGUCAUCUUAUACUUGGGAGUCAGACUGUGGGUGAUAAGAUUCAUAGUCGAAAGGGCAACAGCCCAGAUCGUCAGCUAAGGUCCCUAAAUGUAAGUUAAGUGGUAAAGGAUGUGGGAUUGCACAGACAACCAGGAUGUUGGCUUAGAAGCAGCCACUCAUUCAAAGAGUGCGUAAUAGCUCACUGGUCGAGUGAUCCUGCGCCGAAGAUUUCCGGGGCUAAAACUUACUACCGAAGCUACGGCAUCAGUAAUGAUGGGUAGGGGAGCUUCCCAUACGGGUUGAAGCAUGACCGUAAGGACAUGUGGACAGUAUGGGAGUGAGAAUGUUGGCAUGAGUAGCGAGAUGUGGGUGAGAAUCCCACAGGCCGUAAACCCAAGGUUUCCAGGGGAAGGUUCGUCCGCCCUGGGUUAGUCGGGACCUAAGCUGAGGCCGAAAGGCGUAGGUGAUGGACAACAGGUUGAUAUUCCUGUACUACCGAUAACCGUUUGAGAGAAGGGAUGACACAGUAGGAUAAGCUAAGCACACUGUUGGUUAUGUGUGCCCAAGCAUUGAGGCAGUCAAAGUAGGCAAAUCCGCUUUGAUAAUGCUGGGAUGUGAUGGGGAGCGAAAUUUAGUAGCGAAGUAGCUGAUUUCACACUGUCAAGAAAAGUCUCUAUCGAGGUUAAAGGUACCCGUACCGCAAACCGACACAGGUGGGUGAGGAGAGUAUCCUAAGGCCAGCGAGAGAACUGUUGUUAAGGAACUCGGCAAAAUGACCCCGUAACUUAGGGAUAAGGGGUGCCACCAUCAGGUGGCCGCAGAGAAUAGGCCCAAGCGACUGUUUACCAAAAACAUAGGUUUCUGCUAAGUCGCAAGACGAUGUAUAGGAGCUGACGCCUGCCCGGUGCUGGAAGGUUAAGGGGAUCUGUUAGAGCAAUCGAAGCAGUGAACUUAAGCCCCAGUAAACGGCGGCCGUAACUAUAACGGUCCUAAGGUAGCGAAAUUCCUUGUCGGGUAAGUUCCGACCCGCACGAAAGGCGUAACGAUUUGGGCACUGUCUCAACAACAGACUCGGUGAAAUUGUAAUUCCGGUGAAGAUGCCGGAUACCUGCGACAGGACGGAAAGACCCCAUGGAGCUUUACUGUAGCUUGACAUUGGGUCUUGGUACUACAUGUACAGGAUAGGUGGGAGGCUUUGAAACCAGGACGCCAGUUUUGGCGGAGCCAUCCUUGGGAUACCACCCUUGUAGUACUGGGACUCUAACCAUAGGCCAUGAAUCUGGUCUUGGGACACUGUCAGGUGGGCAGUUUGACUGGGGCGGUCGCCUCCCAAAAGGUAACGGAGGCGCUCAAAGGU